UACGGAGGGUGCAAACGUUGCUCGGAAUCAUUGGGCGUAAAGCGCACGUAGGCGGCCUGAUAAGUCGGGGGUGAAAGCCCUGGGCUCAACCCAGGAAGUGCACUCGAAACUGUCAGGCUUGAAUAUGGAAGAGGGUCGCGGAAUUCCCGGUGUAGAGGUGAAAUUCGUAGAUAUCGGGAGGAACACCAGUGGCGAAGGCGGCGACCGGGGCCAAUAUUGACGCUGAGGUGCGAAAGCGUGGGGAGCAAACAGG
rnacentral:rRNA from 1 species